rnacentral:rRNA from 1 species
CUACGGGUGGCAGCAGUGGGGAAUUUUGGACAAUGGGCGCAAGCCUGAUCCAGCCAUUCCGCGUGAGUGAAGAAGGCCUUCGGGUUGUAAAGCUCUUUCGCAAGGGAAGAAAACUUAUCCUCUAACAUAGGGUGAGGUUGACGGUACCUUGAUAAGAAGCACCGGCUAACUACGUGCCAGCAGCCGCGGUAAUACGUAGGGUGCGAGCGUUAAUCGGAAUUACUGGGCGUAAAGCGUGCGCAGGCUGUUUUGUAAGUCAGAUGUGAAAUCCCCGGGCUCAACUUGGGAACUGCGUUUGAAACUACAAGACUAGAAUAUGUCAGAGGGGGGUAGAAUUCCAUGUGUAGCAGUGAAAUGCGUAGAGAUGUGGAGGAAUACCAAUGGCGAAGGCAGCCCCCUGGGAUAAUAUUGACGCUCAUGCACGAAAGCGUGGGGAGCAAACAGGAUUAGAUACCCUAGUAGUC